rfam:Ictidomys tridecemlineatus contig065376, whole genome shotgun sequence.
AGACAUAGCUGAGUGGUAAAGCACUCGCCUAGCAUGUGUGAGGCCCUGGGUUUGAUCCCCAAGAUGUCCA